CGGCAAAAGCUCAAAUUUGAAAUCUGGUACCUUUGGUGCCCGAGUUGUAAUUUGGAGAGUACCACUUUGGGACUGUACUUUGCCUAUGUUCCUUGGAACAGGACGUCAUGGAGGGUGAGAAUCCCGUGUGGCGAGGGUGUCAGUUCUUUGUAAAGGGUGCUCGAAGAGUCGAGUUGUUUGGGAAUGCAGCUCUAAGUGGGUGGUAAAUUCCAUCUAAAGCUAAAUACAGGCGAGAGACCGAUAGCGAACAAGUACAGUGAUGGAAAGAUGAAAAGAACUUUGAAAAGAGAGUGAAAAAGUACGUGAAAUUGUUGAAAGGGAAGGGCAUUUGAUCAGACAUGGUGUUUUGCGCCCCUUGCCUCUCGUGGGCUUGGGACUCUCGCAGCUCACUGGGCCAGCAUCGGUUUUGGCGGCCGGAAAAAACCUAGGGAAUGUGGCUCUGCGCCUCGGUGUAGAGUGUUAUAGCCCUGGGGAAUACGGCCAGCCGGGACCGAGGACUGCGAUACUUGUUAUCUAGGAUGCUGGCAUAAUGGUUAUAUGCCGCCC
rnacentral:rRNA from 1 species